CCCUCCUUCCUCGCCGCGGGAGGCUCGCCCGCCGCCUCCGGAGGGAGGCGUGGCGCGGGUCGGCGCCGCCUUUCCUCGCCGGUGAUUGGCGGCGGCGAGCGCCCGUCGGCGGGGGGGGGGGGCGGUGCCCGGCGCGGCCACGUUCGGGUGCGCGGCCAGCGGCGCGGCGGGCGCAGCGAGCGGCGGCGGAGGAGCAGCGCGGGGCGAUGGGGGCGCGGCGGCGGCCGGCGCUCUGACAGCCCCCGGCGCUCCCUCAGCGGCGGGCAGCAGAGCGGCUCCCGGUCGGCGGCGGCGGUGGUCAGCGGCCGCCCCCCUCCUCCUCGGCGCGGACCAUGUUCGCCAAAGGGAAGGGCUCGGCGGUGCCCUCGGACGGGCAGGCGCGGGAGAAGCUGGCGCUGUACGUCUACGAGUACCUGCUGCACGUCGGCGCCCAGAAGUCGGCGCAGACCUUCCUGUCCGAGAUCCGGUGGGAGAAGAACAUCACGCUGGGCGAGCCCCCCGGCUUCCUGCACUCCUGGUGGUGCGUGUUUUGGGACCUUUACUGCGCAGCUCCCGAAAGGCGAGACACUUGUGAACAUUCGAGUGAAGCGAAAGCCUUUCAUGACUACAGCGCAGCUGCCGCCCCGAGUCCCGUGCUUGGAAACAUUCCCCCGAACGACGGGAUGCCGGGGGGCCCCAUCCCGCCCGGUUUCUUCCAGGGACCGCCUGGGUCACAGCCCUCGCCACACGCACAGCCUCCACCCCACAAUCCUAACAGCAUGAUGGGACCCCACAGUCAGCCGUUCAUGUCGCCGCGCUACGCCGGAGGUCCCCGGCCCCCCAUCAGGAUGGGCAACCAGCCCCCGGGUGCCGUUCCCGGUACACAGCCAUUGCUGCCCAAUUCGAUGGAUCCCACGCGACAGCAAGGGCACCCUAACAUGGGCGGCCCCAUGCAAAGGAUGAAUCCUCCACGAGGGAUGGGCCCCAUGGGUCCCGGUCCACAGACUGACCCUUGGUUAUCGUUGCAGAACUACGGCAGCGGCAUGAGACCUCCACCCAACUCCCUAGGUCCCGGCAUGCCCGGAAUUAACAUGGGGCCGGGAGCUGGCAGACCGUGGCCGAACCCCAGCAGUGCUAACUCAAUCCCAUACUCUUCUUCAUCACCUGGUACAUACGUGGGUCCGCCCGGCGGCGGCGGUCCUCCGGGGACACCCAUCAUGCCCAGUCCCGCAGAUUCAACAAAUUCAAGUGACAACAUCUACACAAUGAUUAAUCCAGUACCGCCCGCAGGCAGUCGAUCGAAUUUCCCGAUGGGCCCCGGCUCCGACGGCCCCAUGGGCGGCAUGGGCGGCAUGGAGCCCCAUCACAUGAACGGAUCGUUAGGGUCAGGAGACAUAGAUGGACUUCCAAAAGUAAAAUUCUCCAAACAACAUAAGUGGCAUUAGCAAUCCCCCGGGCACUCCAAGAGACGACGGGGAGCUGGGAGGCAACUUUCUCCAUUCCUUCCAAAAUGACAAUUAUUCCCCCAGCAUGACGAUGAGUGUGUGAUUUCCCUCCCCCUCCUCCUCUCCAGGAUCAAGAGAGUCAGCUGCCGUUCGGAGGAUCUCAACGAAUUAUGCAAGAAGAAGAAGAAGAAGAAGCUAGGUGUAUGGGCAGGGAGACGCGUGGCGGGGGCCAAAACCCCAGGUUUAGUUUCAUGCAAUAAAAAGGCUGAACUUUUUAUUCCAUAAAACAUGAAGGACAAAACUUAAAAUAUUUCAAGACAUGACAAGACCCUUCUUUGUGCAGAAGGGUUUAUAUAUGUACAUGACACUUCUUUUUGGAAACAAACGGAAGCCUCUAGCACCCAACUCCGAUCUCUUUGCUUUGUUCUUUUAAAUAAAGACAGAAACCGAACCUGUUGUAUGUUUGUGCCGUGCGACACCAGGAAGCUAGUCUAGAUAUGAAAUCUCAUGUUGUCUCUGUUGUAGUCAUUUUUUUAAAUAAACUGGACAGUUUACAAUGGUGGUUUUCGUUCAGAAGGCCUGUUUUGUUUUGGUUUUGGGGGUUUUUUUCCCUUCUAUUUUUGGUUUUUUUGGUUCGUUUGCAGCACAACGCUUCCUCCUCCAGUUAACAAGAUCUGCUUUGGGGAAGAGACUCCACCACCUCGUUAUAAACUUGUUAACGCAGGUGACCCCUUCUAGGAUCACAUCCUCGAAUGAAUCGUGAUCUUGCUCUCUGUGACUGUGGCAUGCACUGUGUUAGUCUUUCCCCCCCUCUCUGAGUACCAGAAGAAAUCUCUGUCCCUCCCUUCCCCAGAGUCCUUCAGCUGGUUCACUGCAAAAAUUGAUUUUUUUUAAAUUUUUUUUUUUUUUUGUAAAUCCACCAAAAGAAAGGGUUAAUCUGACCUGGGACUUUGAAACUGUGAUCUCCAGCUAACUUUGGGGGUUUUUUGGGGGUUUUAUUUGCUUUGGGGGUAUUUUGGGGGGGUUCUUUUCUUUAGAGAUGUGCUCUUGUCAGGGUUUCACUUAUCUAUGAUUUGGAACUGGAUGGAGAUAUUUUUUAAGGAAUUCUUGUUGUUAAAAAUGUAACCUUGCUAUUCUGUAGGCUCGCUCUGUAAUAAGAAAAAUAAAAAUUAAUGGCAAGCAUCGAAGGCCCUUCCUUCUGGCGGGAGAGGAAGGGACGAGCCAAGGCGGCGGGUUGGGAUCUCUGUACAUGACACUACCCUGUAGUUUGGUCUUUGUUUUUCUCCAGCUCCCAUUUCUGCUCCAUGUAUAUCAUAUUCUGUAAAAUAUUCUCUCCCUUGGAUUUGACCUUUGUGCGGAUUAUUGAAAGCAUUGUAUCUUGUUUCAGUGUUUUUUCUUACCUUGUAGUCUGGUUCGAAAAUUACCGAGAGGGGAAAAAAAAAAAAUAAUUAUUAUACAUUGUAGUUUGUGUACGAUAUUUGUUGAUAAUGUUUUAUUAAAGGGAUGUCUUUUUUCCGCACCCCUUCAUUGAAAUGUUUUUGGGGAACAUUUGGCUUGUUUUUAUUAUUCUGACUGCAAGACAUGAGAUGACAAAACUUUUUUUUUAAGUGUGUAAUACGAAUAUUUUUUUUUCACGUUUGCCUUCUUUUUCCUAGGCAUUUUAAUUGUGCUUUACCUGUAGAAAGUCGCUGGGGAGGGAGGGGUGGGUGGUAUGGGGGGGUCUGAGGGUGUCAGUCUCAUAGUUACGGUCAGGUUAAUAUUUUCCAAGUUACACUGAGAAAUAACUGAACGCAGAUUUUUUUGCAUCGCAAAUAUACCCGGGGGCUCCCCAAGGGGUCAACUUUUUUUCCUUUUCCGCUUUACAUCUUGUUCAGGGUUUUUUUUUCUUUUCCUUUUUUUUUUUUUUUUUUUUGUUCUGACGUGAGGAAAUGAAAGGACCGGUUUUAAUGUAUUUUAAAAUGAAUAGCUAAAUUAUUGUCUUCAUUGGUAUGGGAUGGUUUUUUGAAUGAAACGGUUCUCCCCCCUUCUCCCCCCCCCCCAAUGCUGUAAUAAAUAUCAACAUAAACAUUUGA